CUCUCGGCGGCGGCGCUAAGAUGGCGGGUGUGCAUUUGUGCGAGUGUCUUGACUGUCCUUCUGAAUCCAUCGCCAUCCUCCAUCCCAGAGUCUCAGAGCAAGCAGCAGAGAGUUGGAUGCGACUGCCACGACUCCGUUCCGUAAGGCCUCACCAAGAUGUGGCUGAAAAAUAUUUGUGUUUAGAAACCUUUAGCUGAACUGAUGGUGUGCUUUCUCUUCCUGUUCAGGGAGGGGGGUUUUGUGCAGGAGGAUGGAUGGCAGCAGAACCAGUUUUAAAAAAAAGAUUGGAAUCUGAAACUGACUCGUGCAAUGAGCACUAAUCCUGACAGCAUCACAGUGUCACAGAUUGGAAACUGAAACUGACUCGUGCAAUGAGCACUAAUCCUGACAGCAUCGCAGUGUCACAGACUGGAAUCUGAAACUGACUCGUGCAAUGAGCACUAAUCCUGACGGCAUCGCAGUGUCACAGACUGGAAUCUGAAACUGACUCGUGCAAUGAGCACUAAUCCUGACAGCAUCGCAGUUUCACAGUUUGGAAACUGAAACUGACUCGUGCAUUGAGCACUAAUACUGACAGCAUCGCAGUGUCACAGAUUGGAAACUGAAACUGACUCGUGCAAUGAGCACUAAUCCUGACAGCAUCGCAGUGUCACAGAUUGGAAACUGAAACUGACUCGUGCAAUGGGCACUAAUCCUGACGGCAUCGCAGUGUCACAGGUACGAUUCUUACCUUGUGUUCAGUCUGACCAAGAGCUCGUCGCCACCGUGCCUGCUGUUGCCCCAUGAGCAUGUAUGGCCAAUGAUGUGGCUCAAGAGGAACACACAAGCCCAGGCUAGGAAGCAAUUGGAAACUGAAACUGACUCGUGCAAUGGGCACUAAUCCUGACGGCAUCGCAGUGUCACAGGUACGAUUCUUACCUUGUGUUCAGUCUGACCAAGAGCUCGUCGCCACCGUGCCUGCUCUUGCGCCAUGAGCAUGUAUGGCCAAUGAUGUGGCUCAAGAGGAACACACAAGCCCAGGCUAGGAAGCAAUUGGAAACUGAAACUGACUCGUGCAAUGGGCACUAAUCCUGACGGCAUCGCAGUGUCACAGGUACGAUUCUUACCUUGUGUUCAGUCUGACCAAGAGCUCGUCGCCACCGUGCCUGCUGUUGCCCCAUGAGCAUGUAUGGCCAAUGAUGUGGCUCAAGAGGAACACACAAGCCCAGGCUAGGAAGCAAUUGGAAACUGAAACUGACUCGUGCAAUGGGCACUAAUCCUGACGGCAUCGCAGUGUCACAGGUACGAUUCUUACCUUGUGUUCAGUCUGACCAAGAGCUCGUCGCCACCGUGCCUGCUGUUGCCCCAUGAGCAUGUAUGGCCAAUGAUGUGGCUCAAGAGGAACACACAAGCCCAGGCUAGGAAGCAAUUGGAAACUGAAACUGACUCGUGCAAUGGGCACUAAUCCUGACGGCAUCGCAGUGUCACAGGUACGAUUCUUACCUUGUGUUCAGUCUGACCAAGAGCUCGUCGCCACCGUGCCUGCUGUUGCCCCAUGAGCAUGUAUGGCCAAUGAUGUGGCUCAAGAGGAACACACAAGCCCAGGCUAGGAAGCAAUUGGAAACUGAAACUGACUCGUGCAAUGAGCACUAAUCCUGACAGCAUCGCAGUGUCACAGAUUGGAAACUGAAACUGACUCGUGCAAUGGGCACUAAUCCUGACGGCAUCGCAGUGUCACAGAUUGGAAACUGAAACUGACUCGUGCAAUGAGCACUAAUCCUGACAGCAUCGCAGUGUCACAGAUUGGAAACUGAAACUGACUCGUGCAAUGGGCACUAAUCCUGACGGCAUCGCAGUGUCACAGGUACGAUUCUUACCUUGUGUUCAGUCUGACCAAGAGCUCGUCGCCACCGUGCCUGCUGUUGCCCCAUGAGCAUGUAUGGCCAAUGAUGUGGCUCAAGAGGAACACACAAGCCCAGGCUAGGAAGCAAUUGGAAACUGAAACUGACUCGUGCAAUGGGCACUAAUCCUGACGGCAUCGCAGUGUCACAGGUACGAUUCUUACCUUGUGUUCAGUCUGACCAAGAGCUCGUCGCCACCGUGCCUGCUGUUGCCCCAUGAGCAUGUAUGGCCAAUGAUGUGGCUCAAGAGGAACACACAAGCCCAGGCUAGGAAGCAAUUGGAAACUGAAACUGACUCGUGCAAUGAGCACUAAUCCUGACGGCAUCGCAGUGUCACAGAUUGGAAACUGAAACUGACUCGUGCAAUGAGCACUAAUUCUGACAGCAUCGCAGUGUCACAGAUUGGAAACUGAAACUGACUCGUGCAAUGAGCACUAAUCCUGACGGCAUCGCAGUGUCACAGAUUGGAAACUGAAACUGACUCGUGCAAUGAGCACUAAUCCUGACAGCAUCGCAGUGUCACAGAUUGGAAACUGAAACUGACUCGUGCAAUGGGCACUAAUCCUGACGGCAUCGCAGUGUCACAGGUACGAUUCUUACCUUGUGUUCAGUCUGACCAAGAGCUCGUCGCCACCGUGCCUGCUGUUGCCCCAUGAGCAUGUAUGGCCAAUGAUGUGGCUCAAGAGGAACACACAAGCCCAGGCUAGGAAGCAAUUGGAAACUGAAACUGACUCGUGCAAUGAGCACUAAUCCUGACGGCAUCGCAGUGUCACAGAUUGGAAACUGAAACUGACUCGUGCAAUGAGCACUAAUUCUGACAGCAUCGCAGUGUCACAGAUUGGAAACUGAAACUGACUCGUGCAAUGAGCACUAAUCCUGACGGCAUCGCAGUGUCACAGAUUGGAAACUGAAACUGACUCGUGCAAUGAGCACUAAUCCUGACAGCAUCGCAGUGUCACAGAUUGGAAACUGAAACUGACUCGUGCAAUGAGCACUAAUUCUGACAGCAUCGCAGUGUCACAGGUACGAUUCUUACCUUGUGUUCAGUCUGACCAAGAGCUCGUCGCCACCGUGCCUGCUCUUGCCCCAUGAGCAUGUAUGGCCAAUGAUGUGGCUCAAGAAGAACACACAAGCCCAGGCUAGGAAGCAAUUGGAAACUGAAACUGACUCGUGCAAUGAGCACUAAUCCUGACGGCAUCGCAGUGUCACAGAUUGGAAACUGAAACUGACUCGUGCAAUGAGCACUAAUCCUGACAGCAUCGCAGUGUCACAGAUUGGAAACUGAAACUGACUCGUGCAAUGGGCACUAAUCCUGACGGCAUCGCAGUGUCACAGGUACGAUUCUUACCUUGUGUUCAGUCUGACCAAGAGCUCGUCGCCACCGUGCCUGCUGUUGCCCCAUGAGCAUGUAUGGCCAAUGAUGUGGCUCAAGAGGAACACACAAGCCCAGGCUAGGAAGCAAUUGGAAACUGAAACUGACUCGUGCAAUGGGCACUAAUCCUGACGGCAUCGCAGUGUCACAGGUACGAUUCUUACCUUGUGUUCAGUCUGACCAAGAGCUCGUCGCCACCGUGCCUGCUGUUGCCCCAUGAGCAUGUAUGGCCAAUGAUGUGGCUCAAGAGGAACACACAAGCCCAGGCUAGGAAGCAAUUGGAAACUGAAACUGACUCGUGCAAUGAGCACUAAUCCUGACGGCAUCGCAGUGUCACAGAUUGGAAACUGAAACUGACUCGUGCAAUGAGCACUAAUCCUGACAGCAUCGCAGUGUCACAGAUUGGAAACUGAAACUGACUCGUGCAAUGGGCACUAAUCCUGACGGCAUCGCAGUGUCACAGGUACGAUUCUUACCUUGUGUUCAGUCUGACCAAGAGCUCGUCGCCACCGUGCCUGCUGUUGCCCCAUGAGCAUGUAUGGCCAAUGAUGUGGCUCAAGAGGAACACACAAGCCCAGGCUAGGAAGCAAUUGGAAACUGAAACUGACUCGUGCAAUGGGCACUAAUCCUGACGGCAUCGCAGUGUCACAGGUACGAUUCUUACCUUGUGUUCAGUCUGACCAAGAGCUCGUCGCCACCGUGCCUGCUGUUGCCCCAUGAGCAUGUAUGGCCAAUGAUGUGGCUCAAGAGGAACACACAAGCCCAGGCUAGGAAGCAAUUGGAAACUGAAACUGACUCGUGCAAUGGGCACUAAUCCUGACGGCAUCGCAGUGUCACAGGUACGAUUCUUACCUUGUGUUCAGUCUGACCAAGAGCUCGUCGCCACCGUGCCUGCUGUUGCCCCAUGAGCAUGUAUGGCCAAUGAUGUGGCUCAAGAGGAACACACAAGCCCAGGCUAGGAAGCAAUUGGAAACUGAAACUGACUCGUGCAAUGGGCACUAAUCCUGACGGCAUCGCAGUGUCACAGGUACGAUUCUUACCUUGUGUUCAGUCUGACCAAGAGCUCGUCGCCACCGUGCCUGCUGUUGCCCCAUGAGCAUGUAUGGCCAAUGAUGUGGCUCAAGAGGAACACACAAGCCCAGGCUAGGAAGCAAUUGGAAACUGAAACUGACUCGUGCAAUGAGCACUAAUCCUGACAGCAUCGCAGUGUCACAAGUACGAUUCUUACCUUGUGUUCAGUCUGACCAAGAGCUCGUCGCCACCGUGCCUGCUCUUGCCCCAUGAGCAUGUAUGGCCAAUGAUGUGGCUCAAGAAGAACACACAAGCCCAGGCUAGGAAGCAAUUGGAAACUGAAACUGACUCGUGCAAUGAGCACUAAUCCUGACAGCAUCGCAGUGUCACAGAUUGGAAACUGAAACUGACUCGUGCAAUGGGCACUAAUCCUGACGGCAUCGCAGUGUCACAGAUUGGAAACUGAAACUGACUCGUGCAAUGAGCACUAAUCCUGACAGCAUCGCAGUGUCACAGAUUGGAAACUGAAACUGACUCGUGCAAUGAGCACUAAUCCUGACAGCAUCGCAGUGUCACAGGUACGAUUCUUACCUUGUGUUCAGUCUGACCAAGAGCUCGUCGCCACCGUGCCUGCUGUUGCCCCAUGAGCAUGUAUGGCCAAUGAUGUGGCUCAAGAGGAACACACAAGCCCAGGCUAGGAAGCAAUUGGAAACUGAAACUGACUCGUGCAAUGAGCACUAAUCCUGACAGCAUCGCAGUGUCACAGAUUGGAAACUGAAACUGACUCGUGCAAUGAGCACUAAUCCUGACAGCAUCGCAGUGUCACAGGUACGAUUCUUACCUUGUGUUCAGUCUGACCAAGAGCUCGUCGCCACCGUGCCUGCUGUUGCCCCAUGAGCAUGUAUGGCCAAUGAUGUGGCUCAAGAAGAACACACAAGCCCAGGCUAGGAAGCAAUUGGAAACUGAAACUGACUCGUGCAAUGAGCACUAAUCCUGACAGCAUCGCAGUGUCACAGAUUGGAAACUGAAACUGACUCGUGCAAUGAGCACUAAUCCUGACAGCAUCGCAGUGUCACAGAUUGGAAACUGAAACUGACUCGUGCAAUGGGCACUAAUCCUGACGGCAUCGCAGUGUCACAGGUACGAUUCUUACCUUGUGUUCAGUCUGACCAAGAGCUCGUCGCCACCGUGCCUGCUGUUGCCCCAUGAGCAUGUAUGGCCAAUGAUGUGGCUCAAGAGGAACACACAAGCCCAGGCUAGGAAGCAAUUGGAAACUGAAACUGACUCGUGCAAUGAGCACUAAUCCUGACAGCAUCGCAGUGUCACAAGUACGAUUCUUACCUUGUGUUCAGUCUGACCAAGAGCUCGUCGCCACCGUGCCUGCUCUUGCCCCAUGAGCAUGUAUGGCCAAUGAUGUGGCUCAAGAAGAACACACAAGCCCAGGCUAGGAAGCAAUUGGAAACUGAAACUGACUCGUGCAAUGAGCACUAAUCCUGACAGCAUCGCAGUGUCACAGAUUGGAAACUGAAACUGACUCGUGCAAUGGGCACUAAUCCUGACGGCAUCGCAGUGUCACAGAUUGGAAACUGAAACUGACUCGUGCAAUGAGCACUAAUCCUGACAGCAUCGCAGUGUCACAGAUUGGAAACUGAAACUGACUCGUGCAAUGAGCACUAAUCCUGACAGCAUCGCAGUGUCACAGGUACGAUUCUUACCUUGUGUUCAGUCUGACCAAGAGCUCGUCGCCACCGUGCCUGCUGUUGCCCCAUGAGCAUGUAUGGCCAAUGAUGUGGCUCAAGAGGAACACACAAGCCCAGGCUAGGAAGCAAUUGGAAACUGAAACUGACUCGUGCAAUGAGCACUAAUCCUGACAGCAUCGCAGUGUCACAGGUACGAUUCUUACCUUGUGUUCAGUCUGACCAAGAGCUCGUCGCCACCGUGCCUGCUGUUGCCCCAUGAGCAUGUAUGGCCAAUGAUGUGGCUCAAGAGGAACACACAAGCCCAGGCUAGGAAGCAAUUGGAAACUGAAACUGACUCGUGCAAUGAGCACUAAUCCUGACAGCAUCGCAGUGUCACAGGUACGAUUCUUACCUUGUGUUCAGUCUGACCAAGAGCUCGUCGCCACCGUGCCUGCUGUUGCCCCAUGAGCAUGUAUGGCCAAUGAUGUGGCUCAAGAAGAACACACAAGCCCAGGCUAGGAAGCAAUUGGAAACUGAAACUGACUCGUGCAAUGAGCACUAAUCCUGACAGCAUCGCAGUGUCACAGAUUGGAAACUGAAACUGACUCGUGCAAUGAGCACUAAUCCUGACAGCAUCGCAGUGUCACAGAUUGGAAACUGAAACUGACUCGUGCAAUGGGCACUAAUCCUGACGGCAUCGCAGUGUCACAGGUACGAUUCUUACCUUGUGUUCAGUCUGACCAAGAGCUCGUCGCCACCGUGCCUGCUGUUGCCCCAUGAGCAUGUAUGGCCAAUGAUGUGGCUCAAGAGGAACACACAAGCCCAGGCUAGGAAGCAAUUGGAAACUGAAACUGACUCGUGCAAUGAGCACUAAUCCUGACAGCAUCGCAGUGUCACAAGUACGAUUCUUACCUUGUGUUCAGUCUGACCAAGAGCUCGUCGCCACCGUGCCUGCUCUUGCCCCAUGAGCAUGUAUGGCCAAUGAUGUGGCUCAAGAAGAACACACAAGCCCAGGCUAGGAAGCAAUUGGAAACUGAAACUGACUCGUGCAAUGAGCACUAAUCCUGACAGCAUCGCAGUGUCACAGAUUGGAAACUGAAACUGACUCGUGCAAUGGGCACUAAUCCUGACGGCAUCGCAGUGUCACAGAUUGGAAACUGAAACUGACUCGUGCAAUGAGCACUAAUCCUGACAGCAUCGCAGUGUCACAGAUUGGAAACUGAAACUGACUCGUGCAAUGAGCACUAAUCCUGACAGCAUCGCAGUGUCACAGGUACGAUUCUUACCUUGUGUUCAGUCUGACCAAGAGCUCGUCGCCACCGUGCCUGCUGUUGCCCCAUGAGCAUGUAUGGCCAAUGAUGUGGCUCAAGAGGAACACACAAGCCCAGGCUAGGAAGCAAUUGGAAACUGAAACUGACUCGUGCAAUGAGCACUAAUCCUGACAGCAUCGCAGUGUCACAGGUACGAUUCUUACCUUGUGUUCAGUCUGACCAAGAGCUCGUCGCCACCGUGCCUGCUGUUGCCCCAUGAGCAUGUAUGGCCAAUGAUGUGGCUCAAGAGGAACACACAAGCCCAGGCUAGGAAGCAAUUGGAAACUGAAACUGACUCGUGCAAUGAGCACUAAUCCUGACAGCAUCGCAGUGUCACAGGUACGAUUCUUACCUUGUGUUCAGUCUGACCAAGAGCUCGUCGCCACCGUGCCUGCUGUUGCCCCAUGAGCAUGUAUGGCCAAUGAUGUGGCUCAAGAAGAACACACAAGCCCAGGCUAGGAAGCAAUUGGAAACUGAAACUGACUCGUGCAAUGAGCACUAAUCCUGACAGCAUCGCAGUGUCACAGGUACGAUUCUUACCUUGUGUUCAGUCUGACCAAGAGCUCGUCGCCACCGUGCCUGCUGUUGCCCCAUGAGCAUGUAUGGCCAAUGAUGUGGCUCAAGAGGAACACACAAGCCCAGGCUAGGAAGCAAUUGGAAACUGAAACUGACUCGUGCAAUGAGCACUAAUCCUGACAGCAUCGCAGUGUCACAGGUGGAAUCUGAAACUGACUCGUGCAAUGAGCACUAAUCCUGACAGCCCCGCAGUGUCACAGGUGGAAUCUGAAACUGACUCGUGCAAUGAGCACUAAUCCUGACAGCCCCGCAGUGUCACAGGUGGAAUCUGAAACUGACUCGUGCAAUGAGCACUAAUCCUGACAGCCCCGCAGUGUCACAGGUGGAAUCUGAAACUGACUCGUGCAAUGAGCACUAAUCCUGACAGCCCCGCAGUGUCACAGACUGGAAUCUGAAACUGACUCGUGCAAUGAGCGCUAAUCCUGACAGCAUCGCAGUGUCACAGAUUGGAAUCUGAAACUGACUCGUGCAAUGAGCACUAAUCCUGACAGCAUCGCAGUGUCACAGAUUGGAAACUGAAACUGACUCGUGCAAUGAGCACUAAUCCUGACAGCAUCGCAGUGUCACAGAUUGGAAACUGAAACUGACUCGUGCAAUGGGCACUAAUCCUGACAGCAUCGCAGUGUCACAGAUUGGAAUCUGAAACUGACUCGUGCAAUGAGCACUAAUCCUGACAGCGUCGCAGUGUCUGUACCCGUGCUGUACCUGCCCUGGGAAUUUAGGGGUUUUCUGCCUGCUUAUUGGCUUCUGACUACUUGCAUUUCAAUAGUUUCUGCUCUUCAGAAUGUAUUUCGUUGGCUGGAAUGUGGUUCGGGAUGUCCUGAGGUUGUGACCUGCACAAUCUAAAUGCAAGUUAUCUUCUGCCCAUACAGACUUCUCUCGUUGGAUUAAGGCAGAAUUGGAAUGGGAUCAAGUUCCAGCCGAGUUUCUGGAAAAUCCUGCAAGCGAAUUCCACCUCCCUGGAUCACACUUAAUCUGUUCAUUGUCUGUUUCCCAACUUGUUGAAUUACUUAUUGAUUAAAAUCUGGUGAAGAAUUCUAUUUUAA